UCCUACGGGAGGCAGCAGUAGGGAAUCUUCCGCAAUGGACGAAAGUCUGACGGAGCAACGCCGCGUGAGUGAUGAAGGCUUUCGGGUCGUAAAACUCUGUUGUUAGGGAAGAACAAGUGCUAGUUGAAUAAGCUGGCACCUUGACGGUACCUAACCAGAAAGCCACGGCUAACUACGUGCCAGCAGCCGCGGUAAUACGUAGGUGGCAAGCGUUAUCCGGAAUUAUUGGGCGUAAAGCGCGCGCAGGUGGUUUCUUAAGUCUGAUGUGAAAGCCCAUGGCUCAACCGUGGAGGGUCAUUGGAAACUGGGAGACUUGAGUGCAGAAGAGGAAAGUGGAAUUCCAUGUGUAACGGUGAAAUGCGUAGAGAUAUGGAGGAACACCAGUGGCGAAGGCAACUUUCUGGUCUGUAACUGACACUGAGGCGCGAAAGCGUGGGGAGCAAACAGGAUUAGAUACCCUGGUAGUCCACGCCGUAAACGAUGAGUGCUAAGUGUUAGAGGGUUUCCGCCCUUUAGUGCUGAAGUUAACGCAUUAAGCACUCCGCCUGGGGAGUACGGCCGCAAGGCGGAAACUCAAAUGAAUUGACGG
rnacentral:rRNA from 1 species